rnacentral:tRNA from 1 species
CGGACAGAUGGCCGAGAUGGUUAUGGCGCCAGGUUAAGGUUGUACCUUAAUACAUGUGAUUCGUCAUAUAGUUUCCUGGUCACGAAAGUGGCGUGGGUUCGAGUCCCACUCUGUUCA